GGAGAGAUAGCUCAGUGGUUAAGAGCACUGACUGCUCUUCCAGAGGUCCUGAGUUCAAUUCCCAGUGGCUCAA
rnacentral:tRNA from 1 species